rnacentral:rRNA from 1 species
UACUUAGGGGGCGAGCGUUGUCCGGAUUUAUUGGGCGUAAAGAGCGUGUAGGCGGUUCGGUAAGUCUGUCGUGAAAUCCUGAGGCUCAACCUCGGACGUGCGAUGGAUACUGCCGGGCUAGAGGAUGGUAGAGGCGAGUGGAAUUCCCGGUGUAGCGGUGAAAUGCGCAGAUAUCGGGAGGAACACCAGUAGCGAAGGCGGCUCGCUGGGCCAUUCCUGACGCUGAGACGCGAAAGCUAGGGGAGCGAACAGG